rnacentral:rRNA from 1 species
CCUGGUUGAUCCUGCCAGUAGUCAUAUGCUUGUCUUAAAGAUUAAGCCAUGCAUGUCUAAGUAUAAGCAUUUAUACCGCGAGACUGCGAACGGCUCAUUAAAACAGUUAUGGUUUAUUUGAUGGUUCCUUUGCUACUUGGAUAACCGUAGUAAUUCUAGAGCUAAUACAUGCACGAAGGGGCGACUUACGAAGCCCUGUAUUUAUUAGAUUAAAGCCAACCACCUCCGGGUGUCCGUGGUGAAUCAUAGUAACUUAUCGGAUCGCCGGCUCUAUGCCAGCGACGUGUCAUUCAAAUUUCUGCCCUAUCAGCUUUAGAUGGUAGGAUAUGGGCCUACCAUGGCGGUGACGGGUAACGGAGAAUUAGGGUUCGAUUCCGGAGAGGGAGCCUGAGAAACGGCUACCACUUCUAAGGAAGGCAGCAGGCGCGCAAAUUACCCAAUCCUGACUCAGGGAGGUAGUGACAAGAAAUAACAAUAAACCGGCUUAUGCCGGUUUAAUUGGAAUGAGUACAAUUUAAACAUCUUAACGAGGAACAAUUGGAGGGCAAGUCUGGUGCCAGCAGCCGCGGUAAUUCCAGCUCCAAUAGCGUAUACUAAAGUUGUUGCAGUUAAAAAGCUCGUAGUUGGAUUUCUGUGGGGACGGGGCGGCCGGCCGCAACUCGCGGUUCGAGCUAGCACUUUCCCUACAUCCUGCCGCGAACCGUGCUACCAUUAGUUUGGUGGCGCUGGGGAUCGGCUCGAUUACUUUGAGAAAAAUAGAGUGUUCAAAGCAGGCCACACGCCUUGAAUAAGUUAGCAUGGAAUAAUAACUAAGGACUUCGGUUCUAUUUUGUUGGUGUUCGGGACUGAAGUAAUGAUUGAUAGGGACAGUUGGGGCGGUCAGUAUUCCAAAGCGAGAGGUGAAAUUCUUAGACCUUCGGAAGACUAACAGCUGCGAAAGCGUUCCGCAAGGAUGUUCCCUUUGAUCAAGAACGAAAGUUGGGGGAUCGAAGACGAUCAGAUACCGUCGUAGUCUCAACUAUAAACUAUACCAGCUAGGGAUCGGCCAACGUUAUUUUAUACCGACUUGGUCGGCACCUUAUGAGAAAUCAAAGCAUCUGGGUUCCGGGGGGAGUAUGGUCGCAAGGCUGAAACUUAAAGGAAUU